rnacentral:lncRNA from 1 species
AGAAAAAUCACAAAAACAUGCUAAUACAUCAUGUGAACACAGAUCAAUGAUAUCCCAACAAUCAACGACUCUGAAUCUGUUAUUACUGAUAUUGUGAGUGUGUGUGUUCAACAACCAUGCUAACCCAUGAAAGGCAAAAAUAUGAAAGAUAAUAAAUUUCUUAGUAAGCUUCAUACAGUGUAAACUUGAGAACUCAUCAAAUAUACUUGUUUCAACUGAAAUCAAACAAUUACCCGAAUUCAAGAGUCAAAAUGGAAUACUUAUGCCUUUUUUUUAUAACGAGGGCUCUUUGCACUUUUCCCGCUUUAUUUACAUUUUUUUUUUCAAUAUACAUAAAUGACUGUGCAAUGUCUCAUCCCAUUAGACUAACAGUGUUACCCCUUAGCGAGCUUUCGACCAACGACUCCCAGACCAUGAAAGACCUUAGGGCGCUACGUGUAAAGAUAAUCUCCUCAGGCGUACUUGCUCAAGUAACAAAGGCCCCAAAACAAGACUAGUCACCAUGUAUACUUUUUUUUUCUUCUUUUUUUUUUUUAGCUUAUAUAUUCCAAAUAUUUUUCCCCCAAACUCUAGCUUAUGUAUAAAUUCAGUCUUCUCUAGCUAUUCAACUUGUCCUUUCAUUUCACUAGCAAUCAUCCUUUAGAACUCUAUUAUCUAACCAUUUAAACUAUCAUAGCCAACAUGGUCGUUUUUCAAAGUGUUUUCCUAUAAUAUCAGUGUCAAAUAGAUAAAAAUUCAAUUCAUGUCAAGAAAAUCACAUCACUGACUCAACAAUCCUUACUAGACUUGUUCAUGCAAUUCUACUUUCAUCAUUGGCCCCCAAAUAUACGCACUAUCAAAAACUGGAAUUACAUGCAAUCCUAAAUGCAACAAUAAACUAGCAAUCACAAACCAAAUCCACAAACUAAUAA